AAAGGCGGGUGGCCGGUCUAUGAAGCCUCCAUCAUCAAGCUAGCAGAAAUCCCACCUGUCCUUCUGGCUACAGAGCACUUACUUACCAAGCCCAUGAAAUCGAAUGCAGAUCUUCCUGAUGUCAGAUUUACAUAAAUAUGUCAAAGUCUCAACCUGAUGCUGCCCUCCCCCAUCCUCCUAAACCUGUGGAUACAAAUGCAGAUUUCCUUAAUGUUCAAUGGUGUGUGUUCUUCUAAUGGCCGCCUUCCCACUGGAGGUUUUGAUCCACAGCAAUUUAAAAGGAGGACAGAUCAAAACGGACAUCGGCGCAGAGUGAAGAACUGCCCUUCAUAAGGACACUAUGACAGCCAUAUAUAUGGCAGUAAGGAAGAGGUUUCCCAAUGUGUCCAGAAGGGCUUUGAGGAUUACAGUGAAAGCUGGGGGAACUGAGACUGCUGGAAAAGGAAAAGAAAUUACAUUUAAAGUAUGUUGACUUAUGUUCAUACAAUCACACACACAUAUACACAUACACA